ACGAACGCUGGCGGCGUGCUUAACACAUGCCAGUCGCACGGAAAGGCCCUGCUUUUGUGGGGUGCUCGAGUGGCGAACGGGUGAGUAACACGUGAGUAACCUGCCCUUGACUUUGGGAUAACUUCAGGAAACUGGGGCUAAUACCGGAUAGGAGCUCCUGCUGCAUGGUGGGGGUUGGAAAGUUUCGGCGGUUGGGGAUGGACCCGCGGCUUAUCAGCUUGUUGGUGGGGUAGUGGCUUACCAAGGCUUUGACGGGUAGCCGGCCUGAGAGGGUGACCGGCCACAUUGGGACUGAGAUACGGCCCAGACUCCUACGGGAGGCAGCAGUGGGGAAUAUUGCACAAUGGGCGGAAGCCUGAUGCAGCAACGCCGCGUGCGGGAUGACGGCCUUCGGGUUGUAAACCGCUUUCGCCUGUGACGAAGCGUGAGUGACGGUAAUGGGUAAAGAAGCACCGGCUAACUACGUG
rnacentral:rRNA from 1 species